rnacentral:rRNA from 1 species
AUUGAACGCUGGCGGCAGGCCUAACACAUGCAAGUCGAACGAGUGGCGGACGGGUGAGGAAUGGCUGGGAAACUGCCUGAUGGAGGGGGCUAACUACUGGAAACGGUAGCUAAUACCGCAUACCAUCAGAUGUGCCCAGAGGGGAGUAGCUUGUGGGGGGGGUAACGGCUCACCAAGGCGACGAUCCCUAGCUGGUCUGAGAGGAUGACCAGCCACACUGGAACUGAGACACGGUCCAGACUCCUACGGGAGGCAGCAGUGGGGAAUAUUGCGCAAUGGGCGCAAGCCUGAUGCAGCCAUGCCGAGUGUAUGAAGAAGGCCUUCGGGUUGUAAAGUACUUUGAGCGGGGAGGCGUUACCCAAAGAGAAAGCACCGGCUAACUCCGUGCCAGCCGCCGCGGUAAUAC